rnacentral:rRNA from 1 species
CCUACGGGGCGCAGCAGUGGGGAAUAUUGCGCAAUGGGCGAAAGCCUGACGCCGCGACGCCGCGUGAGGGAUGAAGGUCUUCGGAUCGUAAACCUCUGUCAGCAGGGAAGAACGGUCACUGUGCUAAUCAGCAGUGAAUUGACGGUACCUGCAAAGGAAGCACCGGCUAACUCCGUGCCCGCAGCCGCGGUAAUACGGAGGGUGCGUGCGUUAAUCGGAAUUACUGGGCGUAAAGCGCUCGUAGGCGGUAUGUCAAGUCAAGGGUGAAAUCCCCGCGCUCAACGUGGGAACUGCCUUUGAAACUGGCAAACUGGAGUGUGUGAGAGGAUAGUGGAAUUCCAGGUGUAGGAGGGAAAUCCGUAGAUAUCUGGAGGAACAUCAGUGGCGAAGGCGACUAUCUGGCACAUAACUGACGCUGAGGAGCGAAAGCGUGGGUAGCAAACAGGAUUAGAUACCCUAGUAGUC